rnacentral:rRNA from 1 species
GACGAACGCUGGCGGCGUGCCUAAUACAUGCAAGUAGUACGCUGAAGAGAGGAGCUUGCUCUUCUUGGAUGAGUUGCGAACGGUUGCGUAACGCGUAGGUAACCUGCCUUGUAGCGUGGGAUAACUAUUGGAAACGAUAGCUCAUACCUCAUAACAAUGGAUGACCCAUGUCAUUUAUUUGAAAGGGGCAAAUGCUCCACUACAAUAUGGACCUGCGUUGUAUUAGCUAGUAGGUGAGGUAACGGCUCACCUAGGCGACGAUACAUAGCCGACCUGAGAGGGGGAUGGGCGACACUGGGACUGAGACAACGGCCAGAAGCCGACGGGAGGCAGCAGUAGGGAAUCUCCGGCAAUGGGGGCAACGCUGACCGAGCAACGCCGCGUGAGUGAAGAAGGUUUUCGUAUCGUAAAGAUCUGUUGUAAGUCAAGAACGAGUGUGAGAGUGGAAAGUUAACAAUGUGACGGUAGCUUAACAGAAAGGGACGGCUAAAUACGUG